rnacentral:rRNA from 1 species
GACAGAGGUCCCGAGCGUUAGGCGGAAUCACUUGGCUUAAAGCGUGUGUAGGCGGCGGCCUAAGUACCUUGUGAAAUCCCACGGCUCACCCGUGGAACUGCUCGGUAUACUGGGUCGCUUGAGCCACUUAGGGGCUACCGGAACAAAUGGUGGAGCGGUGAAAUGCGUAGAUAUCAUUUGGAACGCCAAUGGUGAAAACAGGUAGCUGGGAGUGUGCUGACGCUGAGACACGAAAGCCAGGGGAGCAAACGGG